GAGUUUGAUCUUGGCUCAGAUUGAACGCUGGCGGCAGGCCUAACACAUGCAAGUCGAGCGGUAGAGAGAAGCUUGCUUCUCUUGAGAGCGGCGGACGGGUGAGUAAUGCCUAGGAAUCUGCCUGGUAGUGGGGGAUAACGUUCGGAAACGGACGCUAAUACCGCAUACGUCCUACGGGAGAAAGCAGGGGACCUUCGGGCCUUGCGCUAUCAGAUGAGCCUAGGUCGGAUUAGCUAGUUGGUGAGGUAAUGGCUCACCAAGGCGACGAUCCGUAACUGGUCUGAGAGGAUGAUCAGUCACACUGGAACUGAGACACGGUCCAGACUCCUACGGGAGGCAGCAGUGGGGAAUAUUGGACAAUGGGCGAAAGCCUGAUCCAGCCAUGCCGCGUGUGUGAAGAAGGUCUUCGGAUUGUAAAGCACUUUAAGUUGGGAGGAAGGGCAGUUACCUAAUACGU
rnacentral:rRNA from 1 species